CUGGCACUAAUGAUCAUUCACGAUUGGUUGCAGGCUACUUCUGUAGGGGGUCACUCCCUGGUCCUUCUAGCCUGCCCUGUGCACAGGUUGAGGACAGUCCUGUGGCUGGAGAAAGCUGGAUCUGAAGGUUGUAGAAACUUGCAGAAAGAAGCCAUCAAAGUGACUUGGAAAGAGAUUUUGGAUGCCUCUGCACUGAUAUUACAUGGCAAAGAAAGGGACUGCACAAGAAGAAGAGCUCCUACAUGGAUCGUCUACAGUAUUUUGUGCUCCUACAGGCCCCCGUGAUUUGGUCUCCUAGAUUUUGUUCACACCCACCCUCAGGUCUUCUACCUGGCUACCUCUCUUUAAAUCUCAUCAUGGAUAGAAUGCCGUUUCCUAAGUUUGCCCUGACAUUGCUGUAUUAAUGAGGACUCUAACAUUGUACCUGAUAAAAACGCAAAUUACUCUAAGCCAAGCUUGUCCAAUCCACAGCCUGCAGACCACAUGUAGUCCAGGACAGCUUUGAAUGCAGUCCAACACAAAUUUGUGAACUGUCUUAAAACUUUAUGAGUUGUUUUGCAAUUUUUUUUAGCUCAUCAGCUGUCAUGAGUGUUAGUGUAUUUUGUGUGUGGCCCAAGAUCAUCCUUCUUCCAAUGUGACCCAGGGAAGCCAAAAGAUUGGACACCGCUGCUCUAAGCCAAAAGGAAUUGAUUGGCUCACAUAAUUGAAAACUGUGUGAGUUAGUUCGGUUUCAGUCACGGAUAGAUUUGGGACUUAAAUAAACCAUAUUAUCAUGUUCCCUCUCUGCCUCCUUCCUCAUUUCUUGGGUCUGCUUUCAUCUGUGUUGGCUUCAUUCUCUUCCAAAUGAUCUCCAUGUGAUAGGGC
rnacentral:lncRNA from 1 species